rnacentral:rRNA from 1 species
UACGUAGGGUGCGAGCGUUGUCCGGAUUUAUUGGGCGUAAAGCGAGCGCAGGUGGUUUAAUAAGUCUGAUGUAAAAGGCAGUGGCUCAACCAUUGUGUGCAUUGGAAACUGUUAGACUUGAGUGCAGUAGAGGAGAGUGGAAUUCCAUGUGUAGCGGUGAAAUGCGUAGAUAUCGGGAGGAACACCAGUGGCGAAGGCGGCUUCCUGGCCUGUUACUGACGCUGAGAUGCGAAAGCGUGGGGAGCGAACGGG